rnacentral:tRNA from 1 species
UUCUAAAUAAUUUAAAGAAAAUAUUAAUUUUGGAGAUUAGAAUUAAGCUCGGCUUUUUAGAAA